GUUGACCUCGGAUCAGGUAGGACUACCCGCUGAACUUAAGCA
rnacentral:rRNA from 1 species